rnacentral:rRNA from 1 species
GACAGAGGUGCCAAGCGUUAGGCGGAAUCACUGGGCUUAAAGCGUGUGUAGGCGGAUUGGUAAGUACCUUGUGAAAUCCCACGGCUCAACCGUGGAACUGCUGGGCAUACUGCGGGUCUUGGGCCAACUAGGGGCAGCCGGAACAAGCGGUGGAGCGGUGAAAUGCGUAGAUAUCGCUUGGAACGCCGAAGGUGAAAACAGGCUGCUGGGGUUGCGCCGACGCUGAGACGCGAAAGCCAGGGGAGCGAACGGG